rnacentral:lncRNA from 1 species
CGUUGGCGGAGGGACACACACACACGCGCGCACACGCACAGCGAGCUCCCGGGCCGGAGCAGGGGGUGGGGAGGGGGGAGGAGGAGAGGGGGCGAGGGCCCGGGGAGAUGGUAAGGGCGGAGGGGGCGAGCGAGACCCCGAGUCGAGAGAAAGGCCCGCGGAAACAGCCGGAGCCCGAGCGAGGCCGGGCGGGCGGGCCUGACGCACGGGGAAGGCCGAGGCCGCCGGGCGGGGCGGCCGCGAGGGACAGAGACAGAAAGACGGGCAGAGCGAGAGGAAGAAAGAAAGGGCGACCGCCCGCCUGGGGCUCCCGAGGCGAAGCGCGGCGUCGGCGGCUGAGGAGACAGACCCCGGUCCCGCCGACUCCCGAGCGGCGUCUCCGGCGGCGGGGGGAGUGGGCGGGCGGGUGAGGAAGGGAGAAGGAGGAGAAGAGAGGGAGAGGAGGGAGGGAGGGAGGGAGCAGGGGGCGCCCGGCUCUUUUUUUUUUUCCUCUUCCUCCCCCCACACCCCCUGAAAGAGAUUUCUGAGAGGAAUUUUUUCUCUCUUUCUUCGGCCUCUUCUCUCUCCUCCCCCCCUUCUCUCCUCGGCGAAGGGGAAAUGAGUGUGAAGGGAGGAGAUAGGGGGAAAAAGAGGCGUCGUCGUUCCUCCUCCUUAAAGGAACCUUUUCUCCUCCUCCUCCUCAGCCCCGUCGCCGCUGCUUCUGCUGCUGCUCCGUGGCAGGAGGAGCCAUGGACACCGCCGGAGCCUCCACUCGCCCAGUCGGUCCCUCCCCGCCGCGGGGCUGGCCAGGGGCGCGGGGGAGGGCCGCGGGCCGGCGGGGGGAGGGGCGAAUGGGCGGGGAAGACGGGGGGGCGGGGAUUCCGGCCAAGCAGCCAAUGGGAGGCGACCGUACAACCUUCGGGCCAAUGGGGCCUCCGCUCUUAUCGCGAAGUCCCUUCCUUCAACGCCCUGUUUCCUCUCUCGGGUUUCCUCCCUCCCCCGCCAAGGAGGGGGAAGGUGGAAAAGAAACUCUUAGGAGGACCAGCUCAACUCUCAGGGGUCCCAGGGAUUUACGGUGAGGAGCGGUGGUAA